AGUACGGAGCAAAGUGCAGAACUGAGCACCUAUUUUUAUUUCAAAGUGAUCUCUUUUACUAUAUAUGUAGAAGGGAGGGAUGCCAUCCUGAGGAACCUGGACACUCUCACUAGAAGUUUACCUCAAAGGUUUUGAUGUGAAAGUGUAUUUAAGAAGAGACUGGAAACAAUUUCCAGAAGUGAAGAAGCUGAUUUACAUUCACGGAUACUCUUCCUUCAGAAAGGAAGUUUACCUGGGGUAACUGCUGGGUGGGAGUGUCCUUUGAAAUGAUGUUGAUUGUACCUUGGUUCAAAGAGCUCUUUGAAAUUCCUGUAAUGCAAUUAUGCUAAGUCAGAGGAAGUUAAAGGAUUGUGUAUUGGCAAAAAUGCAGUUAGAAUCCGAGUUGAAGUCAUGUGUCAAAAGUGCUAUUGAUGAUAACAUUGACACCUGCCUGUGAUAACUUCAAAGUCUGUUCUCUCAGUAUGUAAGUUCACUGAGCUCAGCUGGCACAGGGACAAACCAAGACAAAGACACUGGUCCAGACCUUCAAGAAGUGCAAAUGGAACUGUGCCACUUCACAACAGCACAUCAAACCUGAGCUCUCUGCCUUUUAACAUAGAGAAUACAAUGACUGCUCCCCACCAAAUGAAGCCCAGCAUUUGUGCACCUACAGCUGUUAGUCACAGACAGAAAGGGAUCUCUGUGACUAUCUGCUUUCACCAUGCUGGUGGAAAAAAUAAAAGUGCUCUGUGUGAGUUACUGAGGAAAGAUUGAGUGUAAAAGACAGCUUCCACGCUGGUUUCUGAAAGCACUGACGUUCUAAGUGUUUCUGAUGUCUUCUGGGCUUGAGUUCUACCCUUGUGGGGGGCCAUGUUCAGAUGGAGUGAGGAUAGGAGACUUUUCAUCUAUCCCACAAAGUGCUUUAAAAAAUGAUGAAUGAAGUCUGAACUGAUGAACGAACCCAGAACUUAGCCUUUGGGAAUAAGACUCAUUACUCUCUGUAUCACCUAGUAUUCCAUAAGCUGCUGUUCAACAAAUAUGUUUGCAUAUUUUGAGUCUGCUUUGAACGUUUCUCUCUUUUUAAACAUCAGCCUGAUAUUUUAUUUAAUUGCUGCUCCAUUCUGCUCAGUUCUGUGAAAUGACAAUAAGGAGCUGAAGACCAAGCAGCUCCUAAGAUCUCAACCCCAUGUCUGGCUGUGUGUACGCUGUAAGAGUUUGUGCAGGAAGAGUGACCUAACUGAAGUCCAAAAAAUGGGAAACCAGGUGGUUUUAAUCUUUUUAGGAGAUUCAAGAUUAUAAAAAAUAAGGUGGGAAAAGGCUAGAAUUUUCUGCCCAUAGCACGUUCCCCUCCCUACUCCCCCCCCCAAAAAAAAUCUGCCCUGCAGCAGAGGCUCUGCCUUUAGGUUUAGUUCCCUUGAUUUCCCUCUCUGGGCACCAGCUGAAAAAUGCAAUGAUUUCCACCUCUAUCCUUUUUGGAGGUGGUCAUUUCUGGAGAAAAUUAGGGAGCAGGAAAGGGGCAGAGCAGCCAGGGUCUUCCCCAGUUUGGAUUUCUGAUGCAGAUGAGGCAUAUAAAGAGAUCUAGAAUCUACAAAGCUUCUUCUGUCUUCUUUGGCAGAGAUGCAGCUACCUAGAGCCCUAAAAUGCUGUGGUAGCCAGGUUCUCACCUGCCAUUUUUGUGGUUUGUUACUGCCAGUCUCCUCAGUGUUGAAUUCUGUCCACAGCACCACUUACGAGGAAGAGAUUUGGACUUUACAUAAUGAAAUAAUGGUGGAUUUUAGAUUUCAGAUAUUUACAAGGAAAAAUGCAUAUCCUGAUUACACAGUGUUGUGACGAAAAAACAGAUGUUUUUGUUCUGCUAUUCAAAUUAAUUCUCAGUGAAAAAUGUUUUAUCAGUAUGCUGAAGAGGGGAAAAAAGCACUCCAAAUGCUGUUAAAGUGGAACUGAAAAGUAUGGAUUUAUAUACAAAAAUUAUAUGACAAAAAUUGAUUAAUUUUUCAUGUAUUGCACUGCAGUUAAUCCUUGUGCUCACAGUAUAUGUUACUUAGAAUCACUGUAGAAUUUCUCCUCUGAAUUUUCUGUCUGAAAUUAGCCUGUAGCCUAUGCGUCAGACUUCAUAGGAUCCUUAAGGUAUUUGAUUUAUUUUAUAUCUAAGAGUUUUGUUCUUUGUUCAUUUAUUUUAAUCACUGUUGGUUUUCUUCCCCUUUAACUAUCCUAAGGUUUUUGUUCUAGUACUUCAUCAGUUAUUAGUAUCUAAACUGUUCUCCACUGAAUUCAGGUUCCCUAAAAUUUCAAGUGCAGCAAUUUCAUUUGAGAAUGAGUAUCAUUAAAUGAAACUGUUGAAUU
rnacentral:lncRNA from 7 species